AUUGAACGCUGGCGGAAUGCUUUACACAUGCAAGUCGAACGAUGAACCUUAGCUUGCUACGGGUUUUAGUUGCUAACUGGUGUGUAAUUUAUCUGAACUUGCCUUGUUUUGUGGGAUAACUAUUCGAAAGAUUAUCUAAUACCUCAUACGCCCUUAGGUGGAUAGUAGUGGAUCUUCGUACCUUACGUUAUAAGAUCGGCCGAUAUCUGAUUAGCUAGUUGGUGGGGUAAUGGCCUACCAAGGCGACGAUCAGUAGCUGGUCUGAGAGGACGACCAGCCACACUGGAACGGAGACACGGACCAGAGUCCGACGGGAGGCAGCAGUGGGGAAUGUUGGACAAUGGGCGAAAGCCUGAUAAAGCAAUACCGAGGGAGAGAAGAAGGCAUUCGGGUUGUAAAGAUCUUUAGAAAGGGAAGAAAAGAUAAAAAAGAAAAAAUGGAGAGGGUGACGGUACCUUGAUAAGAAGCACCGGCUAACUACGUG
rnacentral:rRNA from 1 species